rnacentral:rRNA from 1 species
GCAAGUCGAACGCGAAAGUCCCCUUCGGGGGGCGAGUAGAGUGGCGCACGGGUGAGUAACACGUAGGUAAUCUACCUUUGGAUGGGGAAUAACAACCGGAAACGGUUGCUAAUACCGCAUAAUGCAGCGGCACCUAAUGGUGACAGUUGUUAAAGCGGGGGAUCGCAAGACCUCGCGUCUGAAGAGGAGCCUGCGGCAGAUUAGCUAGUUGGUAGGGUAACGGCUUACCAAGGCGAUGAUCUGUAGCCGGCCUGAGAGGGCGGUCGGCCACACUGACACUGACAUACGGGUCAGACUCCUACGGGAGGCAGCAGUCGGGAAUUUUGGGCAAUGGGCGAAAGCCUGACCCAGCAACGCCGCGUGAAGGAUGAAAUCCCUCGGGAUGUAAACUUCGCAAGAACGGGAAGAAUAAGUAAGAGUUAAUAUCUCUUAUGAUGACGGUACUGUUUGUAAGCUCCGGCUAACUCCGUGCCAGCAGCCGCGGUAAUACGGGGGGAGCAAGCGUUGUUCGGAUUUACUGGGCGUAAAGGGCGCGUAGGCGGCCACCGCAAGUCGACUGUGAAAUCUCCGGGCUUAACUCGGAAAGGUCAGCCGAUACUGCGGGGCUAGAGUGCAGAAGGGGCAACUGGAAUUCUCGGUGUAGCGGUGAAAUGCGUAGAUAUCGAGAGGAACACCUGCGGCGAAGGCGGGUUGCUGGGCUGACACUGACGCUGAGGCGCGAAAGCUAGGGGAGCGAACGGGAUUAGAUACCCCGGUAGUCCUAGCCUUAAACGAUGAAUGCUUGGUGUC